rnacentral:sRNA from 1 species
AAACCUCCUGCAAAAGUGGAAGCGAAGCCGAAGAAGGCAGCAGCGAAGAAAGUUCUGUUUUUGUGAUCCUUUUAAAAAUAAAGCUUCACGGAAGGAUAAAUCUUCAGACAAAAAAGUGCAAACAAAAGGGAAAAGGGGAGCAAAGGGGAAACAGGCCGAAGUGGCUAACCAAGAAACUAAAGAAGAUUUACCUGCAGAAAACGGGGAAACGAAAACUGAGGAGAGUCCAGCCUCUGAUGAAGCAGGAGAGAAAGAAGCCAAGUCUGAUUAAUAACUAUAUACCAUGUCUUAUCAGUGGUCCCUGUCUCCCUUCUUGUACAAUCCAGAGGAAUAUUUUUAUCAACUAUUUUGUAAAUGCAAGUUUUUUAGUAGCUCUAGAAACAUUUUUAAGAAGGAGGGAAUCCC